CGACUAAGGUUCGACUCGAGCGCCAGCGAGAGAACGUUGCCGCAGGCAACGGCCCGAAGGGCGAGGA
rnacentral:sRNA from 1 species